rnacentral:rRNA from 1 species
CACUCCUACGGGAGGCAGCAGUGGGGAAUUUUGGACAAUGGGCGAAAGCCUGAUCCAGCCAUGCCGCGUGCAGGAUGAAGGCCUUCGGGUUGUAAACUGCUUUUGUACGGAACGAAACGGCCUUUUCUAAUAAAGAGGGCUAAUGACGGUACCGUAAGAAUAAGCACCGGCUAACUACGUGCCAGCAGCCGCGGUAAUACGUAGGGUGCAAGCGUUAAUCGGAAUUACUGGGCGUAAAGCGUGCGCAGGCGGUUAUGUAAGACAGUUGUGAAAUCCCCGGGCUCAACCUGGGAACUGCAUCUGUGACUGCAUAGCUAGAGUACGGUAGAGGGGGAUGGAAUUCCGCGUGUAGCAGUGAAAUGCGUAGAUAUGCGGAGGAACACCGAUGGCGAAGGCAAUCCCCUGGACCUGUACUGACGCUCAUGCACGAAAGCGUGGGGAGCAAACAGGAUUAGAUACCCCGGUAGUCCCA